GGUCAUAAUAUGUAUGAAUGAGUGGCCCAGUCGUCCAUGAAAUCCAUUGGUGUUCCACUGAUGCCUCUCCCUCAAUUAACUAUUGCAGCUGCUGUACCAGUUAAAGCAGUCUAUAACCGCUUACAGAGAAGGGAAAAGGUGAAGCUUGGUUCAUAGACGGAUUUACUCUUUAUGCGGUGCAAGCUAGAAAUGUAUUACUAUUGCAUUACAAACAUAUCUGGGAGUGGCCCUGAAAUACAGUAGGGGCAUGGGAAAUUCUCCCAGUGGACAAAGCUGUAGGAUUGAGUAAAAUAUACAUAUGAACUCAUAGACAGUGGUGAAUAUUUUGGCUGUCUGUUCAGGGGCAUAGAAAAUGAAAUAUUGGGCUGGACGCAUGUGGCUAGACCUAAGAAGCCUUAGAGAGCUUGAGUGUAAAUUGUGAAGAUCUUUGUAUCAAAUGGUUGUAAUAAUCCAUCAUGGAAUAAGCACUAAACAAUCAAGGAGAAGAACCAGCCAUCUUCUUCAUCCACCAACCACGUGCUGGCACAAUGAACAGCAUGAACAAUGAACAGCAUGACCAUGGCAGCAGGGAUGAAAGCUAUGCAUGGGCUCAACAAUGUGGCCUCCCUCUUACGAAGACUGAUCUAGCUCCUGCUAUUGCUGAAGAUUCAACCUGCUGGCAACAGAGACCAAAGGAAAUAGGACCAAUCAGAAUCCCAGAAAACCUGUCUGGAGUAAACUUAUAUGAAGCAAGUGAAUCCAAAAGGGACAAUGGUGAACUGCAGUGGAUGCCGUAGCUCAUUACCCAGAGUCCACCUUCUGGGACAGCAGUACCUAGCUGCUGGGAUUGUUGCCUGCUGAUGGCUCGCAGUUGAAUCACUCCCCUGCAAUUGCCUUCAAAAGGGAACUGCCGUGACCAUGGUUAUGCUCCGUUUCUAGUGGGGAAUUUCAUAUCCAAUUAGUGGUCUAUGUGUAGGCGCAAAGGUCCAGUCACCUCUACUAAUUCAGGAUAUCUCUGAAGCACUAUCUCAGCUUCAGAGCUCUCCAUGGGAGUGACUGAGACCUCAUAACACAGGAUAAGUGCUCCCUUUGCCUAAUCUUGCUUCCCUUACUUCAUUGGAGGUGUUGUUCCCAAGAUCAUUUCCAUAAAACAUUUGCACUCAGUCUCUGAUUCAGAGUCUGUUUUCUACAGAUCCUGACCAUGUAAAAUACAUUAAUUUGACUUUUAAAAUAACAGGGUAUGUUAAAACUAGUUCUACCUAAAAAAUUGAAGUGAGCAAUUGAUUAGUAAACGUAAUUAUAGUAAGCAGUCGAAAGAGUUUAUUUAGUUCCUCUAGUCUCCCGGCCUUUUUUUUUUUUUUUUAACUUAAGCAAGAGUUCUUUCUUUAAAAUAUUUUUUAAAAAUUGACACAUAAUAGUUGUACACAUUUAUGGGGUACAUGGUGGUGUUGUGAUACAUAUAAUGUAUAGUGAUCAGAUCAGGAUAAUCAGCUAUCCAUCACAUCAAAAAUUUAUAAUUUUUUUUGUGUUGGGAACAUUCAAUGUCCUCCUUUUAGUUAUUUGAAACUAUACAAUAUAUUCUUGUUAACUAUACUUAUCUUAUACUACUAUAGAACACUAGAACUUAUUUCUCCUAUCUAGCUGUAAUUGUAUACUUUUUUUUUUGUAUACUUUUUUUUGGAGAUGGAGUGCUGCUCUGUUGCCCAGGCUAGAGUGCAGUGGUGCGAUCUUGGCUUGCUGCCACCUC
rnacentral:lncRNA from 1 species